rnacentral:rRNA from 2 species
CUGGUGUCAGCCGCCGCGGUAAUACCAUCACCUCGAGUGGAUCAUGACGUUUAUUGGGCCUAAAGCAUCCGUACCCGGCUCUGCGAAGUCUUCGAUUAAAUCCACCUGCUCAACAGAUGGGCUGCUGGAGAUACUACAGAGCUAGGGAGUGGGAGAGGCACACGGUAUUCAAUGGGUAGGGGUAAAAUCCUCUGAUCCAUUGAGGACCACCAGUGGAUAAGGCGAUCUGCCACAACACGUUCGACGGUGAGGGAUGAAAGCUGGGGGAGCAAACCGGAUUAUAUACCCGGGUAGUCCCAGCUGUAAACGAUACAAACUCGGUGAUGCAUUGACUUAUGGCCAAUGCAGUGCCGCAGGGAAGCCGUUAAGUUUGCCGCCUGGGAAGUACGGACGCAAGUCUGAAACUUAAAG